UGGGGAAUAUUGCACAAUGGGCGCAAGCCUGAUGCAGCGACGCCGCGUGGGGGAUGACGGCCUUCGGGUUGUAAACUCCUUUCGCUAGGGACGAAGCUUUUUGUGACGGUACCUAGAUAAGAAGCACCGGCUAACUACGUGCCAGCAGCCGCGGUAAUACGUAGGUCCCGAGCGUUGUCCGGAUUUAUUGGGCGUAAAGCGAGCGCAGGCGGUUAGAAAAGUCUGAAGUGAAAGGCAGUGGCUCAACCAUUGUAGGCUUUGGAAACUGUUUAACUUGAGUGCAGAAGGGGAGAGUGGAAUUCCAUGUGUAGCGGUGAAAUGCGUAGAUAUAUGGAGGAACACCGGUGGCGAAAGCGGCUCUCUGGUCUGUAACUGACGCUGAGGCUCGAAAGCGUGGGGAGCGAACAGG
rnacentral:rRNA from 1 species